AAGAAUUUUGUUCAUGUUUUCGCACACCAAUUUAUCGUAUUAAAGAAGAGACGAAAAUUCAAGUUUUAACUCUGAACUAGGGUCGAUUUCGAAUAAUGCCACAAUCAAAUGAAUAACGUCUUAUAUAGUAGGAUGUGAGAACGAAACUUGAUGCAACCCAUAUACUACGAAGUAUCUCCCGAUUACCAACGAACCUAACGUAAAUUGUUUUAUCUAUAGGUUAGAAUCACCUUGGGACUGGUGAAAACAGAUGAUGAUGUUACACCAUUUGACAUUUGUAGCCAUAUGGUAUGCCACUCAUGCGUUCAAAGAUCAAUGCCACUGAUAAAAGAAACGCUAAAAUGUCAAAGGAACUUCAUAACUGAACGUCGAGGGCCAGUACGUUUACGUGCAGUCGGACUUGAUUGUAGGUAAAUAGUGCAGAUCGUAAGCCAAAAGUGUUAAGCCAAGAGUUUAACCAUAGAAGAAGCCUUUGAGGCUAUAAACACGUUGAGGAUAACGAUGAGACUACCGCUGCAAAUCAACAACGAGUCGAUGGCGACGCGGCCACCUGUGCAAAAAAGAGAAAACGGUCAGUUAAAAAUACUUCCUGUAGUGUAAGUGAAGAAUCAUUAACUCACAUAAUCCAAUUUCGUUAUUAAAUAAAAAGAAUUCGCAGAAAUCGAUGAAAUCGCUGUACGAGCUGAUGCUCCAUGCGUGCAACCCAAUUAAAGUGAAGCCAAUCAACAUGGAAUAGACUGCUAGAGCUUUGAUACAAAGAAGCAAACAUGAUGAGGAAGGCUCCACCCCAGAUUCCCGUACACACCAAAUCCGGUAUGUAGGUUGCAUCACUGACUGCUAAUGCUGUAACCUGU